AACGAACGCUGGCGGCAUGCCUAACACAUGCAAGUCGAACGAGACCUUCGGGUCUAGUGGCGCACGGGUUCGUAACGCGUGGGAACCUGCCCUUAGGUUCGGAAUACCUCCCCGAAAGGGGUGCUAAUACCGGAUAAUGUCUUCGGACCAAUGAUUUAUCGCCUUUGGAUGGGCCCGCGUUGGAUUAGCUAGUUGUUAGGGUAAAAGCCUACCAAGGCGACGAUCCAUAGCUGGUCUGAGAGGAUGAUCAGCCACACUGAGACUGAGACACGGCCCAGACUCCUACGGGAGGCAGCAGUGGGGAAUAUUGGACAAUGGGCGAAAGCCUGAUCCAGCAAUGCCGCGUGAGUGAUGAAGGCCUUAGGGUUGUAAAGCUCUUUUACCCGGGAUGAUAAUGACAGUACCGGGAGAAUAAGCCCCGGCUAACUCCGUG
rnacentral:rRNA from 1 species